CUAUUCUUAUCUUUCCAAGAACAAAAGAGUUGCUUCAUUAUUGCCUAAACAGGAGGCGUGGCUUGUUUAGGUGUGUCUUUGUGAGAAAGUAGUAAUACGUAUAAAUGUUGACUGAAGAGUUUACUUCCUUACAGACACGGGAUCAUCACCAUGAUGGAGACGAUGUUCUGGACUGUCCUCAUCACCACGGUUUUCUUACACACAGCAAAAGCACAGUUCACAGGUCCUUAUAACAGGGCUCCACCCAUGGACGCCUAAUCAGCCACAUCUGUCCAUGGUUGAACCCUGCUGUCAAGCUGAUUGGUGACGGCCGUGUCCCCAACUGCUCUUGUGUCCUUAUCUGCACUGUCCCCCGUAACACGUUCAGUUUUACAGGUUUGUGUACUGGUCAAUGCUGCCCGGGAGAAGAUUUUAGCUGUAUUAACGUUGACUGCUUAUGUGAUGAGGGGUGUCUGUCCAGAGGCGACUGCUGCCCUGAUUUUGUGGAUAGCUGUGCUGUUCUAGCACCAGCACCUCCCCCCAUUGUAGCCACCAGCAGUAGCUCCAUCACAAGUGACAGCGUCUCCACCACCAGCUAUAGUGUCUCCAGCACCAGCUCCAGCGUCCCCACCAACAGCUACAGCGUCCCCACCACCAGCUACAGCGUCCCCACCACCAGCUACAGUGUCUCCACCACCAGCUACAGUGUCUCCACCACUAUGUCUUCACCCACGUCCACCACUUCAGGUCUUUUAACACCGUCCCAGACACAGUCAAGUUCCACGAACAGCAGCUCUGUAUCCAGCACCAGCUCCUCACCCACUUCCACCAGCUCAGUGCUGCUGCUCCUGGCAUUGACCCUGCCUGUGACCCAUCAACUCAUUUUUAAUGAGGGAUAAUCAUCUUUUGGAUCAUUAUCCAACAUAAGUCAUACAAUCUUCUAGAAAACCAAGUAAUUACUUGGAGAGAUGUGCUGCCUUAAUGAUUGCAGUGGACAUCAUGAAAUAUCAUUAUGAAGUUCUUGCGCUGACAAGUUAUACUUUACACUGACCUUUGCACUGACCUCUGCCAACUUUUACUUCACUGUUAUUCUAAGCUACUUUGCUGCAAACUCUUUCCACUGUGACGGCCAUGUCACCUUCGUUGCUGUACUUUUAAUAAUUUUAAAAAUAAGUUUAAAAUAAAUUCCUGUGUUUUGUUAACA
ensembl:lncRNA A-agglutinin anchorage subunit-like